AGAGUUUGAUUCUGGCUCAGAACGAACGCUGGCGGCGUGGAUAAGACAUGCAAGUCGAACGAGAGAAUUGCUAGCUUGCUAAUAAUUCUCUAGUGGCGCACGGGUGAGUAACACGUGAGUAACCUGCCCCCGAGAGCGGGAUAGCCCUGGGAAACUGGGAUUAAUACCGCAUAGUAUCGAAAGAUUAAAGCAGCAAUGCGCUUGGGGAUGGGCUCGCGGCCUAUUAGUUAGUUGGUGAGGUAACGGCUCACCAAGGCGAUGACGGGUAGCCGGUCUGAGAGGAUGAACGGCCACACUGGAACUGAGACACGGUCCAGACACCUACGGGUGGCAGCAGUCGAGAAUCAUUCACAAUGGGGGAAACCCUGAUGGUGCGACGCCGCGUGGGGGAAUGAAGGUCUUCGGAUUGUAAACCCCUGUCAUGUGGGAGCAAAUUAAAAAGAUAGUACCACAAGAGGAAGAGACGGCUAACUCUGUGCCAGCAGCCGCGGUAAUACAGAGGUCUCAAGCGUUGUUCGGAAUCACUGGGCGUAAAGCGUGCGUAGGCUGUUUCGUAAGUCGUGUGUGAAAGGCGCGGGCUCAACCCGCGGACGGCACAUGAUACUGCGAGACUAGAGUAAUGGAGGGGGAACCGGAAUUCUCGGUGUAGCAGUGAAAUGCGUAGAUAUCGAGAGGAACACUCGUGGCGAAGGCGGGUUCCUGGACAUUAACUGACGCUGAGGCACGAAGGCCAGGGGAGCGAAAGGGAUUAGAUACCCCUGUAGUCCUGGCAGUAAACGGUGCACGCUUGGUGUGCGGGGAAUCGACCCCCUGCGUGCCGGAGC
rnacentral:rRNA from 1 species